rnacentral:rRNA from 1 species
GACGUAGGGCGCGAGCGUUGUCCGGAUUUAUUGGGCGUAAAGAGCUCGUAGGCGGCUUGUCGCGUCGUCCGUGAAAACCUGCAGCUCAACUGCAGGCUUGCGGUCGAUACGGGCAGGCUGGAGUUCGGUAGGGGAGACUGGAAUUCCUGGUGUAGCGGUGAAAUGCGCAGAUAUCAGGAAGAACACCAAUGGCGAAGGCAGCUCUCUGGGACGGUACUGACGCUGAGACGCGAAAAGCGUGGGGGAGCGAACAGG